UAGGGAAUCUUCCACAAUGGACGCAAGUCUGAUGGAGCAACGCCGCGUGAGUGAAGAAGGGUUUCGGCUCGUAAAGCUCUGUUGUUGGUGAAGAAGGACAGGGGUAGUAACUGACCUUUGUUUGACGGUAAUCAAUUAGAAAGUCACGGCUAACUACGUGCCAGCAGCCGCGGUAAUACGUAGGUGGCAAGCGUUGUCCGGAUUUAUUGGGCGUAAAGCGAGUGCAGGCGGCUCGAUAAGUCUGAUGUGAAAGCCUUCGGCUCAACCGGAGAAUUGCAUCAGAAACUGUCGAGCUUGAGUACAGAAGAGGAGAGUGGAACUCCAUGUGUAGCGGUGAAAUGCGUAGAUAU
rnacentral:rRNA from 1 species